rnacentral:lncRNA from 1 species
GCAGAUUAUAAUGAAUAAGGUAUGGACAUGGAGAAGACUAUCAUGUUUUCAAACUUUGUGCUACUUGGUUACUCAUUUUGCAAUAUUUACUAAACACUCAAUAUGUACAAGCACUGUUUGAAAUGUUGCAGAUACAACAGUGGACAAAACAGAUGAAAAUCCGUGCAUGGUUGAAGCUUACGUUCAACUGGGGUUAAGAAGAUAAUAAACUAGUAAAUUACACACACACAAGCACACCCCACAUACACCACACCGCUUAUGUAUGAAGGUGAUAAAUCCUAUGGAGAAAAUGAACACGGGGAGAGGAAAAGCAAAUAUGUCUCGAAGAGAGGGAGGUACAAUUUUAGAUAGCGUGGCCAGGAAAAGGCACUGGGAGAACGCUCUUGCUUUUACUUUUAAAUUCCUUUCGUUGUUUUUCUGUUGUUGCUGUUGUUUUUGUUUGUGUGUUUGUUUUUGUGUUUUUAAGAUUUGAAAGAGGUAAAGAAGUGAUCCCUGUUGGUUCUGGGGAGGAAUAGCCCUGAAAGAAGAAACAAGUGCAAGGGUGGAAUGUGCCUUAUGGGUCAGAGGAACAGCAAGGAGCUCAGGGGCCAGGAUGAAUAAGUACACAGAAACAGACGCGAUCAGAUAGCUUUACUAAAACUGGAAGAGGGGGAAUGAGAUUACAGGAGCCCCCAAACCAGAGGCACCAGAUAAAAUACAGAACACACAGUUACAUUUGAGUUCCAAAUGAACAAAAAUAUAUUUUAUAGUGAGCGUAUCCUAAACAAAAGCAGGAGUGACGAGAAUGGAGAAUAUGGAAAGAUUUUGAAAAACUACUUUUUCCGG